GACGAACGCUGGCGGCACGCUUAACACAUGCAAGUCGAACGGAGAUAAUUUGAGUUUACUUAGAUUAUCUUAGUGGCGGACGGGUGAGUAACACGUGAGCAACCUGCCUUUGAGAGAGGGAUAGCUUCUGGAAACGGAUGGUAAUACCUCAUAACGUAGUUUUACCGCAUGAUAGGACUACCAAAGAUUUAUCACUCAAAGAUGGGCUCGCGUCUGAUUAGCUAGAUGGUGAGGUAACGGCUCACCAUGGCGACGAUCAGUAGCCGGACUGAGAGGUUGAACGGCCACAUUGGGACUGAGACACGGCCCAGACUCCUACGGGAGGCAGCAGUGGGGAAUAUUGCACAAUGGGGGAAACCCUGAUGCAGCGAUGCCGCGUGGAGGAAGAAGGUUUUCGGAUUGUAAACUCCUGUCUUAAAGGACGAUAAUGACGGUACUUUAGGAGGAAGCUCCGGCUAACUACGUG
rnacentral:rRNA from 1 species